UUGCUGGCUUCGAGGAUGAUUGACUCUGUUGUGUGGGUGAGGUCUACAGAUAGAAGCCGGCUCUGCUCUCUCCAUUGAAAUGAAAACUAUACAGAUGAACUGGAGAGACAAUGGAGUACGGUCCUGUGGCUGAGUCCUGCUGAAACCUGGUGGUGACACACAGAAGCAGGGUGACUAUUCAAGAAAUACUGUUAAAUCGCAAACUACUCAGAUGCAAACACAAGAGUGAAUGCUGGAACUGGCUUAUGAAACGCAAGCCAGCUGGCUGCCCUAGAAAAAUCUGAGGAAAAAGGUUUCUUCAUCUAAUUCGUAAAUGGGAAAUUGAAU
rnacentral:lncRNA from 1 species